rnacentral:rRNA from 1 species
GACGAGCGCUGGCGGCGUGCUUAACACAUGCAAGUCGAACGGAAAGGCCUGCUUUCCCUUGUGGAUUGCGGGUACUCGAGUGGCGAACGGGUGAGUAACACGUGAGUGAUCUGCCCCCAACUUGGGUAUAAGCCUGGGAAACUGGGUCUAAUUCCCGAUAGGACUGCAGGGUGGUGCCUGUGGUGGAAAACGAUUUUCUAGUGGUUGGGGAUGAGCUCGCGGCCUAUCAGCUUGUUGGUGGGGUAAUGACCUACCAAGGCGGCGACGGGUAGCCGGCCUGAGAGGGUGGACGGCCACAUUGGGACUGAGAUACGGCCCAGACUCCUACGGGAGGCAGCAGUGGGGAAUAUUGCACAAUGGGCGGAAGCCUGAUGCAGCGACGCCGCGUGGGGGAUGACGGCCUUCGGGUUGUAAACUCCUUUCGACCGCGAGGAAGCCACCUGGUUGGAAGGGUGGUGACGGUAGUGGUAGAAGAAGCACCGGCUAACUACGUG